CUUGCUUUCUUUGCUGGCGACCGGCGCACGGGUGAGUAACACGUAUCCAACCUGCCCUUUACUCGGGGAUAGCCUUUCGAAAGAAAGAUUAAUACCCGAUAGCAUAAUGAUUCCGCAUGGUUUCAUUAUUAAAGGAUUCCGGUAAAGGAUGGGGAUGCGUUCCAUUAGGUUGUUGGUGAGGUAACGGCCCACCAAGCCUUCGAUGGAUAGGGGUUCUGAGAGGAAGGUCCCCCACAUUGGAACUGAAACACGGUCCAA
rnacentral:rRNA from 1 species